AGCUCCUACUCUGCGCCAGGUGAUGGAUCGGUGACCCGCCCCAGGAAUCCCAAGAGACAUUGUGCCCACUGCGAAGGCAUCCCAUCCCAAACCUGGGCUGAGCCUGGACUCCUCAGCUCCCCAGAUGGCGGGUAGGAUGGUGAAUUAGUGAUGCCGCACCAGGGGGUCAUGUUCCUUCCAGUGUCUUCCGUGCACUGUCCCCAGGGGAGGUGAGAUGCAUGGAGUAAGACAUUGAGAGGCCCAGCAGCAGGGAGUGGCCGAGAGAGCCCCGCAGACCCUUGACCACCCCCCUUGCCCACCCCAGGGACAGAGCACCCUGGACACAAGGACCGGAUUCAUCUGCCCCAACCGUGGGCCUGUGACCCCAGCAGCUCUCCACAGGCAGCAGCAU
rnacentral:lncRNA from 1 species